rnacentral:sRNA from 1 species
GGAUGUGAGGGCGACCUGUUUGCAACAUCUGUCAGCCCACUGAUCACCGGGGCUGAUUCAGCUGAUCUGGCUGGCUAGAUUAGCCCCUCCCUCCCUCACCACUCC